rnacentral:lncRNA from 1 species
AAGACUUGCCUUGGAAAAGAUUGAGAAGAGCCAGUAGACUUGGCUUCCUUACUUCUGCUCAUGUGAGUAUAAUUUAUAUUUCUAACUAUUGUGCAAGUGUCAUUAGAGCCACGUAUUUCCCCAGGUUUCUGGGGAAGAACUGCCUGGUUCGAUCUUUGCGACGCUGGCGCUCUUUUAGAAUUAACCACGGCAAAACUUGAUGACACUUCCGUGGUUCUUGUAAAAUUCAUCUUUGGGGUAAUUUUACGCUGCGUGUUCCCCCCCCC